rnacentral:piRNA from 1 species
UGCUGUCAGGUGAAAUUGUGUCCCCC